GUUAUACCUGUGCUGGGGUGACCGUGCUCUGGAGGCCUACCUGUUGUUUAAGGAGCAGGGUAAGGAAGGUGACUGGAACCGUUUCUAAAGACGGAAGCAUUACCCUGUCUUGUCUACGUGACUGCAUCUGUCCAAUGACCCCGUGGUGAACCAACUGUGUACUUCAUCUCAGCCUGAGUUCUCCUGGAUUAGUACCACUGGACAUCUCUGGAAGACCUCCCUUUCUCUUCCUUUGACAUACACAGCUAACCCGUAUCUUCUGGAAAAGAGCAGCAGGAUUGAUCUCAAGCUACGACAGCCAGCUGUCUCUUGCCCUUCAGCAUCUGUACAUGUCAGGGAUGGAGAGGAAGGAAUUGAAAGCAGCAUUCUUAACUCAGCUGAGAAGAUGGGAGUUAAGGGGACGUGAAGGGAGACCUCACGUUCUCAGAGUGAGAGAUGACAAAAUUACAGAUGACAAUAAGUGUGCUGUAAUGUUAGG